GGGACGAUUAUUGGGCCUAAAGCAUCCGUAGCCGGUUUUACAAGUCCUCCGUUAAAUCCAGCUGCUUAACAGAUGGGCUGCGGAGGAUACUAUAAGACUAGGAGGCAGGAGAGGCAAGCGGUACUCAGUGGGUAGGGGUAAAAUCCGUUGAUCCAUUGAAGACCACCAGUGGCGAAGGCGGCUUGCCAGAACGCACUCGACGGUGAGGGAUGAAAGCUGGGGGAGCAAACCGG
rnacentral:rRNA from 1 species